rfam:Salmo salar isolate Sally breed double haploid chromosome ssa27, whole genome shotgun sequence.
GCUGCUGCACGCUUGGAGAGCCCGCGUGUUUGAACAGCUAUAAAAAUUAAUUAUUACCAAAGGCUUACAAAGCUUCAGAGUUUUUGGCCUCGAUUCGCGAAUCCCAUCUGAAAAAGUAAAGAGGGUUGUUAUUUGUGCAUUAUAUAUCACAAUUGGUCUCUUUGAUAACGUUCUCAUUCAUGAUGGGGUUUGAUUUAUGAGCUAGUGAAGGCAAACAUGGCUCGAGC